rnacentral:ribozyme from 12 species
AUAAAAAAUACGAAAAAUAAUGACAAAUAUUGCGUAUUUUUUACAUAUAUACCCAUGAUCUUCUUUCCCUUUUCAUUACUGUCGUCCCUCCGUUUCUAUCCCCUUUCCUUCCCCUAGUC